UACAAAUAUUUAACACUUUAAAUACAUGAUAAAUCAUUUGAAAAACAUAUAUCAUAAACUUUAUGAAACAAAUCAAAACUUUGAAUCAAAACACCAAACCUUUUUGUUCUUGGCAAGAACAUCAAGAACAAUGAAGAACAUCCAUGAAAAACCCAAAUUUUUCCAUGAACUUUUUUUUUCACCCAAAAACAUUCCAAAAACAUUCUUACUUAAGGGAAAUAACAUCUAACCAAACUAGGGUACUUAGGGAUUCCAAAGAACACAUUAAAACACUUUUAACAAGUCAAACAAGAACCCAAAAUUCCACCCUUUGGAUUUGGCCGAAUUUUCCCAAAAGCAUGGCACCAAAUUUUAGCUCCAAUAUUCAUGCUCAUAUG
rnacentral:lncRNA from 1 species